CUGCCGUAAAGCUCAUCCGCUGAUCACGGAUGAUUCCAGAGCAGAGCGGCAGACAACUGAACACAAAGCCAACGACUGGAAUAGUUGGCCAGCACUGAAAUGAGGAUUUCGUUUCGGUUGGCCAACUGCGCAUUCUUCCGGCUGCUCU
ncrna:unclassified sequences DTF2800 RNA